rnacentral:rRNA from 1 species
GAUGAACGCUAGCGGCAGGCUUAACACAUGCAAGUCGAGGGGCAGCAUGACACGGAGAUUCGUCGAAGUGUUGAUGGCGACCGGCGCAAGGGUGCGUAACGCGUGAGCAACUUGCCCGUUUCUGGGGGAAUAACCGUUGGAAACGACGACUAAUACCCCAUAGUAUCAGAUGGAGGCAUCUUCAUCUGAUUAAAGAAUUCGGAAACGGAUAGGCUCGCGUGACAUUAGCUAGAUGGCGGGUAACGGCCCACCAUGGCGACGAUGUCUAGGGGAACUGAGAGGUUAAUCCCCCANACUGGUACUGAGACACGGACCAGACUCCUACGGGAGGCAGCAGUGAGGAAUAUUGGACAAUGGAUGGAAAUCUGAUCCAGCCAUGCCGCGUGCAGGAUGACGGCCCUAUGGGUCUUAAACUGCUUUGUAUGGGAGCAAUAAGUUCUAACGUGUAGGAUGAUGAGAGUACCAUACGAAUAAG